GUUCUUUUGGUUUUCUCGCCGUCCAAGGAAUGCACCGCCGACUGCGACCUUCCUAGCUUGGCGUCGCCGUAGGCACGCAGUGAAAAGGGGCGUGUCCUAUCGAGCCAUUCAUAUGUGCGAGCCAACGUUCCCGCACUCAUCCGCUUCAGUGAGCAAGUUUUCCGGUGACUGCCUGCAAAAUGUUUCGAAAGCCUUUUUCGUCUCCAAAAUGAAGAAUGGUGCGUCCACACCGACCUGCCUGAGUUCGCACCUUCACAGGCUGCGGCGGCUUGGACAAAGGUGGCAAUGUUGCUUUUGUUUCCAUCUCCUUUGGGCCUUCGCCGACGAGAGCCAGUCAAAACAUUAGGAUCGGGGAGGUUUCGGGCCGACGGCCGACAGACAUCUGGGAAAGGCGGACGGGACGCCGACCUGCAUUUGGACACGUGAUCGGGGAGGUUUCGGGCCGACGGCCGACAGACAUCUGGGAAAGGCGGACGGGACGCCGACCUGCAUUUGGACACGUGAUCGGGGAGGUUUCGGGCCGACGGCCGACAGACAUUCUGGGAAAGGCGGACGGGACGCCGACCUGCAUUUGGACACGUGAUCGGGGAGGUUUCGGGCCGACGGCCGACAGACAUCUGGGAAAGGCGGACGGGACGCCGACCUGCAUUUGGACACGUAUGUUAAGCAACAGACAUGAAAUCACAAAGGAAACCAAGUCGAAGUCUGAUGACAUCAGCAAUCGUCUCAUCGCUGCCUGGUGAAGUGGUCGGCCAGUGUGACGAGAGCGAGGACCGGUGUGCGGACCUAAGACAACAAAACAUCAGUGAGUCAAAAGUUAAGUCAACCUGUUGUGCAGCAAAUGAUCUUUGACACGAAACCUACCAGCGAGGAAGACGGGCGACUUGUUUUCUGGGCCUUAGAGCACUCGCACGGCUGCGUGACCGGGAAGCUGACAAGUGUUCCUCUGCAACUCUGGAAGAAAUGUGGAAAAACAAAAAACUGGAUCAAAGAACACCUAAUUGUGGAAUGAAGACAUUUCAAAGCACGUACCUUCCAGGGGUCAAGGUCUCCCGCUUCUCCAAAAUUUGACUUCAGCACCUUGUGGAUGAAAGGAAGCAACAAGAAAAACAUUUUUGGUGUGCAGCUCUGCUCCGUAUCGUGAAUGCAGCGUGUCACCUUGUAGGAAAGCUGGCCCCGGAAUGACGAGGAACAUGGAAGUGGACACAGACCCCAUUUGCAUUUUUUGUGGUUUACAGUCGACCGCAACCUUCGGCAGAAGCUGUUUGACCGUGACGAGAGAAACCGUCUUCGUAUCAAAUGUCUUCUGAAGACUCCACGGUGGUACAGACUUCGCCAGGAGACCUGAACACAAGAGAUUAACGGGGAACCAGUCAAGCUGCUGUUUAAUAAAUGUAUUAGCAAGGCAACAAAGCUGAAGGCAGCGUUGAGGACCUUCCGCACGUUCAUGUAGAACUUGUCUCUUCGCCCAGCAGGUGGAGGAGCUUGCUGGCCGAGUCCCCGAUGGCACUUGGACUGGAAGCUGACCUGCAUGUGGAGUCAAAGGAAAAAGCAGAUGAGGGCACUUCAAACUUAAAUUUGCUGAUCUUGUUUUGUAGCUUACGUCACCUCUCAACAUGUUGGACAGAAAGUUGACCAUCACUCCAGGUUUCCACCACCUACAACAACAAGAAACCAAGGAUCUUUCAGCACCACCUGGUGGACGUGCACAUGAAGAACAUGCAAGUGUCCAGGACCAAGAAGCUCCCAAUGACUUCAAACAAGAGGCUGUCGUGACUGCAGCCAAAACACAUCAAGAAAGGACAGCGCUGGAAAGUCAUCUCAGGUAGACUGGAACAAGUACUAGAACAAGAACAGUCUUCAUUUCAAACGACUCAGGCCUUCUGAGUGGACUGGUGGCACGAGACCUGAAACCAAGAGAUGAACGAGGGACCAGUCAAGCUGCUGUUUACAGGUGGAGGAUCUUGGUGGCCGAGUCCCCCGAUGGCACUUGGACUGGAACCCGACCUGCAUGUGGAGUCAAAGAAAAAGCAAGUCCCAAGCUUAGAGUUACUGCAACAAGAACCAUCCUCGUAUCAAACGACUGAAGCCUUCAGAGUGGACUGGUGGUCAGAGACUUCUCCGGGAGACCUGAACACAACGAGAUGAACGAGGGACCGGCCAAGCUCCUAUUUACAGGUGGAGGAUCUUGGUGGCCGAGUCCCCCGAUGGCACUUGGACUGGAACCCGACCUGCAUGUGGAGUCAAAGAAAAAGCAAGUCCCAAGCUUAGAGUUCUACUUCACCUUUAGCGUGACCACUACUACUGCAACAAGAACCAUCCUCGUAUCAAACGACUGAAGCCUUCAGAGUGGACUGGUGGUCAGAGACUUCUCCGGGAGACCUGAACACAACGAGAGACCGGCCAAGCUCCUAUUUAAACUUGUCUCUUUGCCCAGCAGGUGGAGGAGCUUGCUGGCCGAGUCCCCGAUGGCACUUGGACUGGAAGCUGACCUGCAUGUGGAGUCAAAGAAAAAGCAGAAAGUUGACCAUGAUGCCAUGUUUCCACCACCUACAACAACAAGAAACCAAGUAUUUGGAUUCAUCAAGUCCGUCUUUGCAAAAGGUUCCAACCUUGAUUGAAAUUUACUUCACAAGAUCAGGUUCUCCAGGGAUCCUUCAGCGCCACCUGGUGGACGUGCGCAGGAAGAACAUGCAAGUGUCCAGGACCAAGAAGCUCCCAAUGACUUCAAACAAGAGGCUGUCGUGACUGCAGCCAAAACUCAUCAAGAAAGGACAGCGCUGGAAAGUCAUCUCAGGUAGACUGGAACCUUCUGCUUGAACAAGAACAGUCUUCGAUUCAAACGACUCAGGCCUUCUGAGUGGACUGGUGGCGCAAGACUUCUCCAGGAGAUCUGAAACCAAGAGAUGAACGAGGGACCAGUCAAGCGCCUAUUUAGAUCUUGGGGGCCGAGUCCCCGACGGCACUUGGACUGGAAGCAGACCUGCAUGUGGAGUCAAAAAGAAAAAGCAGGUCCAAGCUUGGAAAUCUACUUCACACUUGAGCUUUAACACCACGACUGCAACAAGAACCGUCUUCAUAUCAAACGACUGAAGCCUUCAGAGUGGACUGGUGGCGCAGAGACUUCUCCGGGAGCCCUGAACACAACGAGAUGAACGAGGGACCAGCCAAGCUCCUAUUUAGAUCUUGGGGGCCGAGUCCCCGAUGGCACUUGGACUGGAAGCCGACCUGCAUGUGGAGUCGAAAAGAAAAAGCAGGUCCCAAGCUUAGAGAUCGACUUCACCAGUUGAUCCAUGAUCAGGUUCUCCAGGAAUUCUUCGGCACCACCUGGUGGACGUGAGCAGCAAGAACAUGCUACUGUCCAGGAGCGAGAAGGUAAAGAACUUGAAGGAUCUGGCUGCAGCGCAGCUCAGAGUGCAACUUUGGGGGAACUGCAGAAGAGAACAAAUUGAAAACUUCUGUCAGCCAGUUUGUUUUUGUUUUUAUAUCAAUAUCUUGGAUAACAAAACCCAAAGGUUACUGCUGGCAAGUCAUCUCGGGUGUCCUUACCCUCCUUCAGUCCAUCAGAUUCUUCCUGGGUUGAUACAAAAGCACCACAACAUUAAACGUUAACCCCAACAUUUGGUGUUGCCAUCGAGUGCGUGUUCCCACCUGAACUGUGAUGACAUCGCUGGAGGCUGCCUGGUCAGCUCGUGCUGAAAGAAAUGAGUCACUUUUGUUUUUGUACAUGUAUGAAAGUUUGUCUCACCAGUGAGGAGAGCAGGGAGCAGCCGGACGCCUCGUCAGCGACGGCCUGAAAGACACGACAACACGGUUAGCGUUCGACGUUUCCCAAUUCAGCCCCACGAGCCAGUUUGACUUCGCAACGUGACAAUGGAGCGAGGGGUUUAUCAGUAGACCCACAAAAGUCUCAAGAGGCCUGCCCCAAAAGGCAGCCAUUUAGUUGAAGAUUUGAACCUGUAAUCAGAAAUGAGAAUUAAUCCACAAGACAAUUACUUGAUGUAUUCUGUUUAAUAAAGGAUAUGCGGUGUAGAGAAACAGGAAUUCACUCAAUUUGGCCAUUCGGUUGAAGAUUCAAACCUAUGAACAGAAAGGAGAAACGGAUGAAUAAUUCUGUUUCAUUUAAAAUAAAAAAUUAAAGUCAGCCAUUUUAGACUCAAUUUCAAGAUGUGCACAAAAAAAAAAAAAACACUUUAAUAUAAUUAUACUUCAUUCAGUUGAAUUGUGAAUUUGUGUACUUACCUCCUGAAAAACGGCACUUUUGUCCAAAUGUUGGAAAAGUUUGAGCCAAAACUUUAAUUAUAAAAAGUGCCAAUAAUUCAAAGUACAUUCACGUCAUUAGUGCAUGUACUAAAUUAUAAAUUAAACUGUCGUAAAUUCCCCGUUAUUGUUUAGUUUACUUACUGUGUGCAUUCAUUUAUCAGCAUAUACCCCAGAUAAAUGCGUUUUGGUGUAGUUUAAGCUCGCAGGAGACGUUAAAUGCCUCCGAAAGCUCAAAGGUUUUAGCUAGCAUGCUAGCAAGAUGUUAGCACCCUGAAAAGAGAGACUUGGUGUUAAUUUGACUUGCUUUGACAUGUUUUGGUCACUUCGAAAUGUUCAAAGUGAGAAAAAUGCAGCGAAUUUUGCGAAGCUUAAGAAGAGAGUGUGAGCACUUAGUUACCUUGUCAAAGUUUUGGACGAUCUUGUGGAAACGCCGGUGACGGGUCGCUGGCAAAAGAGAACGAGUGUCGCAUUUGGCCCGACUUAAAUAGGUUGACGGUGAUGACGCAAUAAUUGGAAAAAAAAAUAUAUCACAGGAAAGUAGAAAAAAUGUGUGUUCCAUUGAAAAAGCAAACAGUUAAAUACAUUGACUUAAACACAGCAAACUGGCAGCACGGGGGUUCGAACCAAGACCGCCUGCUUCGCAGUUCUGUUCGUAACGCACUGGACUAGAUCUCACUGACGGUUUCCGGUAUGUGCAUUGUUAUUUGUCAUAUUUUGGCACGAAGCGUGUUCACGGAUUUACUCAUCGAUGAAUACAAACAAACGUCACACAAACGGUUGACCAAAACUGGUCUAAAGGUUUAAUGCUUUGCCUGCUGCCCAGGAGACCCUGGUUCGAGCCUCCUUUCUGCUCCAUGUAUCUGUAUCUAUAUCAAUAUAUACUGAAGUGGAGGAGAAGGUGGGGAUUGAACCUGGGUCACCAAAACUCGAGGUAUAGUUUUAGACCAUUCGGCCAAUUUGGCUGAAAAUUCAGAAAAUUUGGGGGUUGUAUUUAUAAUGUUUGAACACCGGUGUUGUCGCUCACAUAUGAAUACGUACGAAUCGCCUAAGGUUGUCGGAUGGAAAAUAGCUCAGUGGUUUGUAUCACUGACUGUAGUUCUGGUAACUCGUGUUCGAUCCUUCCUUUGUCCAACAUUUAUAUUUCUCCACAAUGUUUGUUAAUAAGUGGAGUGCAGAGUGGGGAUCGAACACGGGACGCCCGAAACGGAGGUAAAGUUUUAGA